AUUGAACGCUGGCGGCGGGCCUAACACAUGCAAGUCGAGCGGAUGAAGCGAGCUUGUUCCUGGAUUCAGCGGGGGACGCGUGAGUAAUGCCUAGGAAUCUCCCUGGUUUUGGGGGAUAACGUCUGGAAACGGGCGCUAAUACCGCCUACGAGCUGCGGGAGAAGCAGGGGGGUGUUUGGACCUCAUGCGCUCAUAUGGGUCUAGGUCGGAUUAGCUAGUUGGUGGGGUAGAGGCCUACCAAGGCGACGAUCCGUAACUGGUCUGAGAGGAUGAUCAGUCACACUGGAACUGAGACACGGUCCAGACUCCUACGGGAGGCAGCAGUGGGGAAUAUUGGACAAUGGGCGAAAGCCUGAUCCAGCCAUGCCGCGUGUGUGAAGAAGGUCUUCGGAUUGUAAAGCACUUUAAGUUGGGAGGAAGGGCAGUAAGUUAAUACCUUGCUGUUUUGACGUUACCAACAGAAUAAGCACCGGCUAACUUCGUG
rnacentral:rRNA from 1 species